UCCAGUCUGGGCAACGAGUGAAGCUCCAUCUCAAAAAAAAAAAAAAAAAGACAGUAGGUACUGAGCAAGCCUGGACAAUCAUACUUUGAAUUAAUGUCAUGUUCCAGCGUUUGGGUGGCCCUCUGAAACAGUACACAGUCAUCCUCCCAAUGCAGCUGUGCCCAAGAUGCUGCUCACCAGGAGACUGAGCUGUGCCCAGCUCUGUACUUCCUCUUUUUGAAUAGGUGUUCUUCCUCCUUUUCUAGUCCUAUCUUUGGGAGCUAGGCACUGCAUUUAUCUCCUUUUUAAUUUGAUAUCUCACCUUUUACACAUCAGUCACAUUAAUUACACAAAUGGACUGUUUAUGAGGAUCCCCUUGGAGAAGGUGCCAGGGAGUCCAAUUCUCCAAGGCUCUUUUGCCUUGGGUGCAGAAGGUUUAACUAACGUGGCUUGAGUACUUAGAUUGGAUGGAUGGGAGCCGAUUCCCUAGAACAGUCUGAAAAAAUAAAAUCGGAUGUUUUUAAAAUAUCCAGGGAAAGAUCCAGAGUAGAUGGACAAAUUCACUUAAACUUUAAAUGGUAAAAUGGAAGUGUUGUGCAGAUAUUUCAGUGGUCUUUAGAAUCUCCUACAUUGCCUAGUCCAAUUGUUUACACACAUUAGGGGCUUCAUUAACAUUUGCGUGUACAUGAGUGAGUUGUUGGAGGAAUUUUUAUCCCUUCUGCUUCCGUUAUUAGUGUUUGUCUUUUAAAAAGAAGAGUAAAAGGAAUGGUUUGUUAGGGUAGUCGGGACAAAUUACCAAGGCACCAAGAGGCACUCCUACACUCCUGCCGCCCUAAGCACUUAGGGGACGUCCUCCAAAUCAGACGAGUCAGCAGGCCUGUGCUCCUGCGCCAUGUCCCUGCUGUACGUGCACAUGUCCUUUUAAGUGAAGUCAAUAUAUUCCUCUUCACAGCUGCAUCCCAGUGCUCAAGGGAACUUCUUGAGAGUAAGAACCAAGACAUUUCGUCCUAGUUUUUCUACUACCUGCCACAUGGUAGGCGGCCACUAAACUGUGGAGUGGAUGAAAGCAUUUUCUUCCGUGAUGGUUCAUCUUAAAUGUCUUUUGAUAAUUAGCAUUUUAUUGAAAAUUAUAUUGUUUUAUCUGAGCAAAAUCUACUUAAAGGGUUCAUUGAACUUCAACAACAAGUGAAAUAAUAAAAGAACCCACACGAUGCACACGGUGGCUUGCCAGGGCUUGGGUGCCGGAGGGAGGAGACAGCUUCUGUGUCCUUUCUCACCAGCAGUCUCUGGCCCCAGUGGAGCCCCAGGCUCACCUCCCCUCUCCCGCUUUGUGUGCUCGGCCCCUGCAGCUGGAGUCUGCUUUACUUGAUUCAUGUUACUUGGUGUCCACACAGUUGCUGGCUCCUGAGUAUCUUCCGUGGCUUCUGAGUUCCUGAAACACAUUUUCCUCAGGUUUUGAGGCAUCUUUUUAAAGCUUGCUUUUAGUUUCGGAUUCACUCUAUGUCCCAUGCCAUACACCCAUCAGCCGUCUGCCUGGGAGAGUUUCUGGAAGCUCCAUGCCUCUUCAUAGGCACGUUGCCAUGUACCACAUGGCAGGCAGGUGUGACUGGAGCUUGGCAUUGCAGAGCCCCUGACUUCCAGGAGCUCAGAGCCUGGCAGAAUGGAUAUUCAAGAAAGAGCCCUCGUUUCUGAUGAUAGGGUCUGUUUGAAAAGCAUUGUGGUUGACAGAGCCAUGCCACGCUGUCUGCAGACCAGAGGCCGGGCCCCUCGCAGUGUUGAAAGUUCAGCCCUGCCGUUGUGGGUAGUGCUCCCUAAGGCAAGGGCAGAUGCCAGACUAUUGUUAAGAAGAUUAUACUAAACUGAUCCUUGUACAGCCCUGCUUCUCGUGGAGUGAUGACACCGAAUGAAUGAGAUAAACUGUCUCUUUUUAAAAAGUAAUUACCCCGAUAUAGUGAAUACCCAUCUCCUCCAGUGAUAUGGACCUGAUGUAAUUGGCUCUCAGUCUAGGAUCAUAAAUGGCAUCUGCCAAGGCAUCCUUAAUAGGAAAUAUUAAGAAAACAUUUUAAAGCUUAUCUCCAAAGUGUUUGUUACUGCAGGUUAUUUUCUGGACGAUGUAUUUGCUCUUCCGAGCAAGUGGAUUUGAUGCUCAAUUCUUCCAUUCACUGCGCCCCUCCCUGCCCUGGCUUUUGGGAAGAUAACAUUUCACAAUCAGGUUUAUUUAUGAUAACAUCUGGUCUGUCCUCCCUACUUUAUUAUUUAAGACUUGUUUGUGCUUAAAAAGAACUUUUUUUAAUGGGAACACACUAGGUUCUCAAAUAUACUUUCAGCCCAGUUACCUCAGUCAUAGUCAUCUCUCAUUUCUGUCUGCAGUUUAAGUUCUUAUUUAUGUCUGUGCAGUAAGGAGAGGGAGCGUGUUGCCAGGAGAAAAGCUGUAAACGGCUUUGGGCCUCAUCGUACAGCUACAGGUUGUACUUAGGACCCGUGUUAGCCACUUAGACUACAGCUGUGCACUGUGUCCCCCUCAUCCCCACCCCGACCUCCAGCUGAGAAAUAAUUAUCACAGAGUCCAUGCACUGAAAUGGAGGUGUUUAAUCACAAGAACACCUCCGCAGUGCCUGUGUGAUCGGCCGUCCCUAUGUGAGCUGCUGAUCUCAGAGACAGCAUUAGGAUGGCGACCACUGCCCCAGACGGCCCAGUGCUCUACCCCUAGCGUGAUCUGAACUGCUGAAGUCAGAGAAGUCCACGUUGGAUAAACAAAGCCAGCCCAGUAGUAACCUGGCUGUCACAGUGACCGUGUGUCCGUCUUACUGAACCUGGGUUUACGUGACUAGGAUGCUGACACAAGUGAGUUUGCGCAUGGCUUGCUGUUCUCUUCAACCCUCUCCAGCCUGAAUAGGAAUGUUAAACCCACUCAGGAAUUCUCGUUGGUCUAAAGGACUGUGUUCAUUGGUCUUUGACACUCCGUCAACCAACUUAGCGGGGUUGACCUGAGCCUUCGGACACGAUGUGCCUGUGGGUGCCUGCCUCUCCUCCCACGAGACAGACCUGAACUGUCUCCUCAGCUGCUCAGCUGAUUGUGAGAAAUGUAUUCUGUGACAAAGGCAGGCCACAUUUCAGCGUCUUUUCUGAAGUGGCAUGCUUAAUUCCGCAGGGGCAGUGGGGGGAUAUUUAGAAGCAGUCGGUGGGAGAGGAUGAACUGCUGAGUUUGAAGUAGUGAAAGGGGAAAUCAGUCAUAAAAUUCAUGUUUGAGAAUUACACCAGUGAAGCCGUUGACUGCCUGGGUCAGAGCCGAAGGGCCAUGUUUAGUGGCUGGGAGCCACUCGCCCCCAGCACUGGCUUUCUGCAUGCUGCACGCCUCUUAUGUCAAGUCUUUGCCUCCAUUUUUGUAGGACCUCUUCUUUUUCAUUUUUUUUAGUUUUAUUUGUUCCCCUUUUUAUUUUAUUUAUUUUUCAUUUGUUUAAAUGUAUGGGGUACAAGUGCACAUUUGUAACAUGCAUAGAUUGCAUAGGGAUCAAGUCAGGGCUUUUAGGGGAUCCCUCACCCACAUAAACAUACAUUUCACCAAUUGAGUAAUUUCUUACAUAGGACCUUUCUACUGUCAACAGUAAUUGUGGGAAUUGUUUCUACAGUGAUUUAAGCCUUGAAAGAAGUAACUUCCUCCUAGUAAAAUUGUAAAAUCAAAUGGUAAGAUGACGUGGUCUCUAAGGAGGAGUGUCUACAGCUUUAAUUACUACACUGCUAAUGGUGAGAGGGUUGUACAUUUUAUCUGGUAAGAGAAAGUCUGCCUCUCCCAUGGGCGGAUGAUAUGACUUUUAUUGAAUGGAAAACCGGAUGGAGAUUAUUUUUCAUCUUGCUAAUGUAGUUUUAAAUUAUGUAUUCCAUGUUCACAUUGUAAUUGUAGCAUUUUCUUGCAUGACACUUUCAGCAAAGUUUGGUAGCUGUUUCCCAUGCUUGGCAUUACCUCUAAAGGUGAAGUAACAUAAGAAUUGUAUAGGAAUACCAUGAGAGCAUAACGUGAGCAUUAUCAGCUAGGUGAGUGCGGAAGAUCACACUGUUUAAUUGCUGGAUUGCCAGCUUCUGACCCUUCUCUGGGAGUGCGGCUGCCUCUGUACCUGCUUCAUGACAGUACAAGCGUGAAGGCCACAGGAGAAAAAGAACAGGACCACACAGCCCAGACCAGCCUUGGAAGGCAUGACAUUGCGUACAGAGUGUAUCGGUUGCUUCUGAUUUCCGUGAUUUGAACCACUCUUUUAUUAUGGACUUCAAAGGGAAAAAAUGGAACUUUAAAUUCUGAUCCAGGAGAACCAGUAGCCCACAGGCAGUCCUUUGACCUCCUGACCUGCUAUGCAUCCUCUGCCCUGCAGCUUCUCACAUCCCCAGGUGGAAAUGCUGUGCCCCUUCAUCCAUACCGUGGCACUUCCUCACUGGAGGUCACCUCUCCUGUGCAUGGUCACAUUCUGCCUGUCUGUUGAGAGGCUCCGUUCUUCGCUGCGUUCUGCUUACCUGGUUAAGCCACAAAAGGUUCUAUGCUUAGACUAGACGUGGGAUUUAAAAGUUUCCAUGUUCGUGUACAGGAGUGUACAAAAUAUGCAUGAGCAAGUGGUCACAGUCAUAGACACACCGUGCCUUGGGGGGCCCCAGGUCAUAAGAUGGUGUUCUCUGUAUUUCACCUGACGCCUUUGGUUUUGUUGCUCUGUGAGAAUGAGGGCAGUCUUUUAAAGGAACUCAUCCAGAAAGAAAGGAGAAGCAAGUGUGUUGGAGAGAAGAUACAUUUAUCAUGUCAUUACUAAGCCCUGUAUUAAACUUAUUGUAAACA
rnacentral:lncRNA from 1 species